CACGUAGGGUGCGAGCGUUGUCCGGAAUUAUUGGGCGUAAAGAGCUCGUAGGCGGUGUGUCGCGUCGGCCGUGAAAACCUGCAGCUUAACUGUGGGCUUGCGGUCGAUACGGGCAUCACUGGAGUUCGGCAGGGGAGACUGGAAUUCCUGGUGUAGCGGUGAAAUGCGCAGAUAUCAGGAGGAACACCGGUGGCGAAGGCGACUUUCUGGCCUGUUCUUGACGCUGAGGCGCGAAAGCUAGGGGAGCAAACGGG
rnacentral:rRNA from 1 species